UACGAAGGGGGCAAGCGUUGUUCGGAAUUACUGGGCGUAAAGGGCGCGUAGGCGGCUUACCAAGUCAGGCGUGAAAUUCCCGGGCUCAACCUGGGGGCUGCGCUUGAUACUGGUGAGCUUGAAUGCGGGAGAGGAUAGUGGAAUUCCCAGUGUAGAGGUGAAAUUCGUAGAUAUUGGGAAGAACACCGGUGGCGAAGGCGGCUCACUGGUCCGGUACUGACGCUGAGGUGCGAAAGCGUGGGGAGCAAACAGG
rnacentral:rRNA from 1 species